UGGGGAAUAUUGGACAAUGGGCGAAAGCCUGAUCCAGCCAUGCCGAGUGUGUGAAGAAGGUCUUCGGAUUGUAAAGCACUUUAAGUUGGGAGGAAGGGCAUUAACCUAAUACGUUAGUGUUUUGACGUUACCGACAGAAUAAGCACCGGCUAACUCUGUGCCAGCAGCCGCGGUAAUACAGAGGGUGCAAGCGUUAAUCGGAAUUACUGGGCGUAAAGCGCGCGUAGGUGGUUUGUUAAGUUGGAUGUGAAGUCCCCGGGCUCAACCUGGGAACUGCAUUCAAAACUGACUGAUUAGAGUAUGGUAGAGGGUGGUGGAAUUUCCUGUGUAGCGGUGAAAUGCGUAGAUAUAGGAAGGAACACCAGUGGCGAAGGCGACCACCUGGACUAAUACUGACACUGAGGUGCGAAAGCGUGGGGAGCAAACA
rnacentral:rRNA from 1 species